GACGAACGCUGGCGGCGUGCUUAACACAUGCAAGUCGAACGGAAAGGCUCCAGCUUGCUGGAGUACUCGAGUGGCGAACGGGUGAGUAACACGUGGGUAAUCUGCCCUGCACUCUGGGAUAAGCCUGGGAAACUGGGUCUAAUACUGGAUAUGACCUUUCUCCUUAUGGGGUUUGGUGGAAAGUUUUUCGGUGUAGGAUGAGCCCGCGGCCUAUCAGCUUGUUGGUGGGGUGAUGGCCUACCAAGGCGACGACGGGUAGCCGGCCUGAGAGGGUGAUCGGCCACAUUGGGACUGAGAUACGGCCCAGACUCCUACGGGAGGCAGCAGUGGGGAAUAUUGCACAAUGGGCGGAAGCCUGAUGCAGCGACGCCGCGUGAGGGAUGACGGCCUUCGGGUUGUAAACCUCUUUCAGCAGGGACGAAGCGUUAGUGACGGUACCUGCAGAAGAAGCACCGGCUAACUAUGUG
rnacentral:rRNA from 1 species